GUGACCUCUCUCAUCCUUUGCAUUUUUUGGCCAUCCCCUGGAACUGCUUUCUUUAGAGGAGUCUGGCUGCUGAAAUGCCAAGAGCAUCUAAAAGACUAAAACUACCUGCCUGGAGAAGCCAGGGAAGCCUCUGACUGGUUGGAAAUGGUCCUGUGCUUGGUAGGGCAGGAUGCUGCUAAAACACACUUCCGGAGUCCUUCACCAAGACUGUGCCCAAGACUUCACCAAGAAUGUAGCAGGUGUUCCUGCCCUUCCAUUCAGCCUGGCAAGAAAUCUUGGUGCCCAUUCUCAGAUGGAUCCCAUCUCCACCACCUGUCAGAAGGCAGCUGCAGACACCUAAGAUACGUCUAUGUAAUUUUUCCAGCAGCAUACUUUUGACCCUUUCAAAGUUUGUAAAUGAUUAAGGACACACCCUACAAGAAACACCCUUUCCUUCCCUCAAACUUAGCAUUAUUUGGGUGGCACUUCCUGUCCACAUCCAUGUCCCUCUGCUCCUCCGACGUUUGGGGUUCUUUUCUCUGUUCCUGGCUAAGUUUUUCUCAGAGUUGAUCAAUAUUUUGAUUUUUAAAUCAUCUACACUGAGGCUGCCUUUUCCUAUAAAUGCAUAGCAGGAAAUGGUUAAAUGUUAGUGCAGUACUGAAAUUUUCUGAAAAUCUGUCUGAAUCAU